rnacentral:tRNA from 1 species
GGGGGUAUAGCUCAGUGGUAGUGUCUGCUUAGCAUGCACAAGGUUCUGGGUUCAAUCCCCAGUGCCUCCA